AUAAUAUUUUAAUCCUAAUGAUGGAUGAUGAUGACGAUAAAGUUAGUUCAUUUUCUUAUUUAACGUCGAAGAAAAGAAAAACAACAAAUGUUAUCUUUAAAAACCAUAAAUCUGAAUGAUAUUUUGAAAUUUUAAUCAAUCGACAUUUGAUAAACAAUCAAGUGAGUUUUGUCAAUAUUGCCGAAUUAAUUAUGAACAAUUCAAUUUUUUACUAUCAUUGGUGGAAGAAAAAUUAUCUGUAGAACCUAUCAAUCGAGUUAAAAAUCCAAUAUUACCGACAAAAAAACAUGACAGCGUGACAUUGAGAAGAUAAGCCUACACUCUCUGACAAUGAAAUUUUAUGGAAAAUAUCGGUACCGAUAGUUCUUGUCGGACCGCAGGGUUUGAAGUUGACCUUUCAAUCUUGUGAGAUCGGACCGUAGCAUACUCGGGUGGUUGAACUGGACUAUGUGCUAUCGGUGAACCAGCA